AUGUCUAAUUCGACUUUGGAGUACCAGUUGCCUUAUACAGUAAAGCCGAUCGUAAAGCCAUACGAUUCAACGAGUUUUCUUCUUGGAUGCAUGUAUCAGUGUCUGUGCAUCCCUAUGAUCGUUUCCGGUUACAUUGGAAUCGAUUGUCUUUUCGCUAGUUCAGCCCUUCACGUAACCGCGCAAUUUGCGAUACUGAAACACAGAAUUAGGAAAAGUUUAAAGGAUUGCGAACGAGGUAUAAGGGAAAUAAUCGUUGACCAUUGUCAUCUCAUUAAGUAAGUAUCGUUUGUGUGCUCGUCGAUGUACGUCAAUGAAGCGAGAAAGUCAAAGAAUUAAUUCUAGUUAGAAGACGUCCAAGUAUCGUUCCGGAUGUAUACUAAACGCACGUUUCAGAUUGGCAGAAACAUUGGAAGAUAAUUUUACUGGUAUUAUUUUUCAACAAUUAUUAGGGAUUACGUUCCAGCUUUGUAUAUCUGGUUAUCACAUACUCGUGGUAUAACGAACAAAUAUCUAAAUACGAUAAAUGCUUUUUUCUUCUUCUUUUCUCCCUCUCAAAAGUUUUAGCGUUCUUUUUCAGUACGCGGCAAACGAGGACGUUCAAGUCGUUGUUUUCCUAAUAUAUGUUCUUGCAUUAUCAAGUAUAUUAUUUGUCUACUGUUACAUCGGCGAAUGUCUCAUUCAGGAAAGCACGAACUUGAACGAAGCGUUCUACGAUAUAAAAUGGUACGAAAUGUUAAGGAAAAAUUUAAAGUCAAUUUACAUUUGCAUGAUGCGCACGAGGAAGCCGCUCCAACUGACGUCUGCCAAAUUUCGGGCCUUAUCCUUGUGCACCUUUACCGACGUGAGUAAAACGUCCUUAUAGUACAAUUUGAUGUCUUUGUAUUAUAUUUUCAUAUGAAUUUUAUGCGAAUCAAAUAUUUAUCAAGUUUAUUCGUAGAUACUGAAGACAUCUAUGGGAUACCUAUCCGUUUUGCGAAAUUUUUUAUAAAUUAAUUCACCCUGUUAAUGCGCUAGCGCAAAUUGUUACACUAUAGACAAUCUAUUCUAUUUCUUAUGAUAAAAAUCUGAGUGAUCCGACACACGAGGAAACAUUCAGAAUUACGAAA